AGCGGACAUUCAGCCAUCUAGCGGUCAACAGACAACUCCAUCCAUAUAUGAAAGGAGGAGGCUGUUUAGCCUCACCCGAGGCUUCUCUAUGAAGCGUCUCUCUGUCUCGAAGCAACCACGUUGAUUGUGAUCAACCCUCGUUUAUAUUCACUGCAAUUCUUAGGUUAUGGGCCCAGCACCAGCCUUACAGAAAAGACAAUUACUAUGGAAGGAAAUUUGACUCUUGACGCCAUCAGGCACAUAAAACGAUUUGAUGGGACACUAUUCCAAAACUGGAAACAUUCCAUGGAAAUUAUGUUUGAAUUCAAAGACAUCAAAGAGAUUGUCGAGGGAGAACUAUGUCCUGAACCAGCCU